GAUGAACGCUAGCGACAGGCCUAACACAUGCAAGUCGAGGGGCAGCACAAGGAGCAAUCUGAGGUGGCGACCGGCGCACGGGUGAGUAACACGUAUGCAACCUACCUGUAAGAGGGGGAUAACCCGUUGAAAGACGGACUAAUACCGCAUAAUACUGAAUAACCGCAUGGUUAAUCAGUUAAACAUUUAUGGCUUACAGAUGGGCAUGCGCAUGAUUAGCUAGUUGGUGAGGUAACGGCUCACCAAGGCAACGAUCAUUAGGGGUUCUGAGAGGAAGGUCCCCCACACUGGUACUGAGACACGGACCAGACUCCUACGGGAGGCAGCAGUGAGGAAUAUUGGUCAAUGGGCGAGAGCCUGAACCAGCCAAGUCGCGUGAAGGAUGAAGGUUUUAUGAAUUGUAAACUUCUUUUGCAGGGAAUAAAGUGCGGUACGUGUACCGUUUUGUAUGUACUCUGCGAAUAAGGAUCGGCUAACUCCGUGCCAGCAGGCCGC
rnacentral:rRNA from 1 species